UGCUCUAAGUGUAGACUUAGAGGAAGAAGAUUGUUGUCAACAGUCCAGAGCAGAUUUCUUCCAGAAAUCCACGA
rnacentral:ncRNA from 1 species